GACGAACGCUGGCGGCGUGCUUAACACAUGCAAGUCGAACGGUGAAGCGCCUUCCUUUUUGGUGGGUGUGGAUGAGUGGCGAACGGGUGAGUAACACGUGAGUAACCUGCCCCCUUCUUCUGGAUAACCGCAUGAAAGUGUGGCUAAUACGGGAUAUUCUGGGUCUGUCGCAUGAUGGGUCUGGGAAAGAUAUUGUUUCGGUGGGGGAUGGGCUCGCGGCCUAUCAGCUUGUUGGUGGGGUGAUGGCCUACCAAGGCGGUGACGGGUAGCCGGCCUGGGAGGGUGGACGGUCACACGGGGACUGAGACACGGCCCAGACUCCUACGGGAGGCAGCAGUGGGGAAUAUUGCACAAUGGGCGCAAGCCUGAUGCAGCGACGCCGCGUGAGGGAUGGAGGCCUUCGGGUUGUGAACCUCUUUCGCCAGUGAAGCAGGCCUGCCUCGUUUGUGGGUGGGUUGACGGCAGCUGGAUAAGAAGCGCCGGCUAACUACGUG
rnacentral:rRNA from 1 species